rnacentral:lncRNA from 1 species
GGAGAUAAUACAUUGUCUUUUUAUUCUUGUAAAUAGUUUGAGGACAGAACCUUUAAUGGUCACAUUUUUUUGAGGCCACAGAGCCGGGGGGAAUGAUAAGUGGUGUUGUGUAACUUUGAGUGGACAUUAGAACAGUGAAAUUUAUGUCAUUACAAAGAGAUUAGAUGAACAUCUUAUCAUCCAUGUGCAGAACUCAACAUUGCAAAACACAUUGAGAAAUACAGAAUGACUGGAUAAGAUUAUUCCAUCUCCAUCCUUAUAAAGAGACGGUAACUCACGACUGCUCAGCAGAGACGUCCACAUCACCUCUAGAUCUCACAGUGCUCACUUUGCUUUCUGUAACACCAGUUUUUUAUUUGGUUCUGACAAACAAGCUGUGGAAAGGAUGAAGGGUGUUAUGAUCUUUCUGGUGUUGACGUUGGUCGUCAUCAUGGCUGAACCUGGGGAAAGUCGUUAUCGACCUGGUCGACCUAGAUGCUUCAGGCACCCAUGCGACUUGGAGGAUGGGGAAGAUCCCAAGACAAAGUGGCUGAUGAUAAAUUGAGGAGAUACUAUGAAGACUGAGUCUGUUCUUCAUUUUGAAGAUAUAGUUUCAGCUAUAUCUUUGUGCUCUGCAAAGCAACAGAUAAUUAGAUGAGUAAACAUGAAGCUCUUGAGAUGAAGUGAUUUUAGUCACAGCUCCAAUUGAUGUUGAAAGAUGUAAAAUUGCUUGAUAGUGAAAACUAUCCUGCUGAAUAAAGCUGCAUUCCAAAAGACCGUCUGUGUGUUGUGGUGUUAUUUAAGUGAAUAUGUGCUUGUAAUUUCAUUGGUGAUUUUUUAUUAAGUCAGAAGUAA